rnacentral:rRNA from 1 species
AUUGAACGCUGGCGGCAUGCUUUACACAUGCAAGUCGAACGGCAGCGCGGGCUUCGGCCUGGCUGCGAGUGGCGAACGGGUGAGUAAUGCAUCGGAACGUGCCCAGUAGUGGGGGAUAGCCCGGCGAAAGCCGGAUUAAUACCGCAUACGACCUGAUGGUGAAAGCGGGGGACCGAAAGACCUCGCGCUAUUGGAGGGUCCGAUGUCGGAUUAGCUAGUUGGUGGGGUGAAGGCUUACCAAGGCGACGAUCCGUAGCUGGUCUGAGAGGACGACCAGCCACACUGGGACUGAGACACGGACCAGACUCCUACGGGAGGCAGAAGUGGGGAAUUUUGGACAAUGGGGGCAACCCUGAUCCAGCCAUGCCGCGUGCGGGAAGAAGGCCUUCGGGUUGUAAACCGCUUUUGUUCGGGAAGAAAUCCUAUGGGCUAAUACCCCGGGGGGAUGACGGUACCGGAAGAAUAAGCACCGGCUAACUACGUG